ACUAAAAUAAUUUAAUUUAAAAUGUUGAUUUUGUAAAUCAAUUUUGGACUUCCUUUUAGUA
rnacentral:tRNA from 1 species